rnacentral:rRNA from 1 species
GAGAGGUGCUGCAUGGCUGUCGUCAGCUCGUGUUGUGAAAUGUUGGGUUAAGGCUCGCAACGAGCGCAACCCCUAUCGUCUGUUGCCAGCAUUAAGUUGGGCACUCUGACGAGACUGCCUGGGUUAACCAGGAGGAAGAUAAGGAUGACGUCAAGUCCUCAUGGCCCUUAUGUCUAGGGCUACACACGUAAUACAAUGGCGCGUACAAAGGGAAGCGAACUCGCAAGGGGGAGCAAAUCUCAAAAAGCGCGUCUCAGUCCGGAUUGGAGUCUGCAACUCGACUCCAUGAAGUUGGAAUCGCUAGUA